AGCGAACGUUAGCGGCGGGCCUAACACAUGCAAGUCGAGCGAGAAAGGGGCUUCGGCCCUGAGUAAAGCGGCGGACGGGUGAGUAACACGUAGGUAAUCUUCCUUCGAGCGGGGGACAACGAGCCGAAAGGCUCGCUAAUACCGCAUACGUUUCUCGAGACUCCGGUCUUGAGAAGGAAAGCUAGGUAGCAAUAUCCGGCACUCGAUGAGGAGCCUGCGUCGCAUCAGCUAGUUGGUGGGGUAAUGGCCUACCAAGGCGAAGACGCGUAGCUGGUCUGAGAGGAUGAUCAGCCACACUGGGACUGAGACACGGCCCAGACUCCUACGGGAGGCAGCAGUGGGGAAUAUUGGACAAUGGGCGCAAGCCUGAUCCAGCCACGCCGCGUGAGUGAUGAAGGCCUUCGGGUCGUAAAGCUCUGUGGGGAGGGACGAACCGCUGGAUGUGCAUAGCUUCCAGCAUGACGGUACCUCCUUAGCAAGCACCGGCUAACUUCGUGCCAGCAGCCGCGGUAAAAC
rnacentral:rRNA from 1 species